rnacentral:rRNA from 1 species
UACAGAGGUCUCAAGCGUUGUUCGGAUUCAUUGGGCGUAAAGGGUGCGUAGGCGGCCAACUAAGUCGGAUGUGAAAUCCCCAGGCUCAACUUGGGAACUGCAUCCGAUACUGGAUGGCUUGAAUUCGGGAGAGGGAUGCAGAAUUCCAGGUGUAGCGGUGAAAUGCGUAGAUAUCUGGAGGAAUACCGGUGGCGAAGGCGGCAUCCUGGACCGACAUUGACGCUGAGGAGCGAAAGCUAGGGGAGCAAACAGG